rnacentral:rRNA from 1 species
CCUACGGGAGGCAGCAGUGGGGGAUAUUGCACAAUGGGGGGAACCCUGAUGCAGCGACGCCGCGUGGGUGAAGAAGUAUUUCGGUAUGUAAAGCCCUAUCGGCAGGGAAGAAAUUGGACGGUACCUGACUAAGAAGCCCUGGCUAACUACGUGCCAGCAGCCGCGGUAAUACGUAGGGGGCAAGCGUUAUCCGGAUUUACUGGGUGUAAAGGGAGCGUAGACGGCGGUGCAAGCCAGAUGUGAAAGCCUGGGGCUCAACCCCGGGACU